rnacentral:rRNA from 1 species
AUUGAACGCUGGCGGCAGGCCUAACACAUGCAAGUCGAACGGUAACAGGAAGACGCUUGCUUCUUUGCUGACGAGUGGCGGACGGGUGAGUAAUGUCUGGGAAACUGCCUGAUGGAGGGGGAUAACUACUGGAAACGGUAGCUAAUACCGCAUAACGUCGCAAGACCAAAGAGGGGGACCUUCGGGCCUCUUGCCAUCGGAUGUUCCCAGAUGGGAUUAGCUAGUAGGUGGGGUAACGGCUCACCUAGGCGACGAUCCCUAGCUGGUCUGAGAGGAUGACCAGCCACACUGGAACUGAGACACGGUCCAGACUCCUACGGGAGGCAGCAGUGGGGAAUAUUGCACAAUGGGCGCAAGCCUGAUGCAGCCAUGCCGCGUGUAUGAAGAAGGCCUUCGGGUUGUAAAGUACUUUCAGCGGGGAGGAAGGGAGUAAAGUUAAUACCUUUGCUCAUUGACGUUACCCGCAGAAGAAGCACCGGCUAACUCCGUG